CAGCCUGGUCCUUCAGACUGAUCAACACCAUUGUGGGACUGCUGCCCGCUCCAGAGCCGGCUCGGAAGAAAAGCUGGAAGUGGAGGAACAUCGGCACGUCUCUUGUUCACAGCUCGCUGACCGGAGCCUGGACCGUGCUGUGGUGAUUUCUACCUUGAACCUCACAUACUGGAGAACCUGAUCACCUCAUGCUCCUUGCUCUCCCAAAGUCUUGUAGCAGUGUCAACAGGUUAUUUCAUCUAUGACUCAGUGGAUUUGGCCUUGAAUCUCCCAUUGCAACAAUGUUGG